rnacentral:rRNA from 1 species
UACGAAGGGGGCGAGCGUUGUUCGGAUUUACUGGGCGUAAAGGGCGCGCAGGCGGCCGCAUUUGUCAGGCGUGAAAGCCCCGGGCUUAACCUGGGAACUGCGUUUGAUACGGUGUGGCUAGAGUUCGGGAGAGGAGAGUGGAAUUCCCAGUGUAGAGGUGAAAUUCGUAGAUAUUGGGAAGAACACCGGUGGCGAAGGCGGGUCUCUGGGCAGUAACUGACGCUGAGGAGCGAAAGCGUGGGGAGCGAACAGG